rnacentral:lncRNA from 1 species
GCAAAUAACUAUAAUUUUGAUUGUUUUCUUUCUUGAAGCAGAAUAUAUGGUGGUGGCUGUGCAAGGUUUGUUGAAUCAUGCUAAAUGUAACAUUUGUGGAUGUCUGGGUUGUAUUUAUCUUUUCAUUCGCAUCAGUUUUAUACAUUCCUGUUUUUCCACAACUGGAUAUACUUAAUAUGUGUUUUGGAUCUUGUAAUGCUUGUUAUUGCAUUAAUUCUCUUGAAG